GUCAGAGACAGGAGGUGGGGACGCAGCCUCAGGAACGGUGUUGUUCUCAUUCUUGUAACAGCCUUUUCAGACAGCCUUUCCUUUCCCAACAGACGGUCGUGUUUUCUGUGCACAGCACAACCACACAGAGGCUGAGUCCUUCAGGCUCCCGUCAAGGCCCCACUGAGAGGGCAGCCCCGGGAGCUAGCCGGAGUCACUGCACCUGGCCUCCCAGAAACAACAAAGAGUUCUUCAAAUGCAACAGUCUGGCCCGUCCUAAAGACACAGGAGAAUGUGAGGAAACCACAGUUAUUGCGCAGUCCUGCUCCUGUGCUCAGUGGAUUGGGAAAAAGAAGAAGAAGAGUAAAGUCUGUGUUGACUUGUUUCUGGUCAUUUUUAUUUACCACCCAAUUCCUACGUGAAUUGGGUUAUGCCAUUUGUAAUGCAAAUCAAAUAUUACGUUCGUUCAUGAUUUAUAUGAUACUAAAUAAAAUGAAAAUUAGGCAUGUAGCAUUCCCAAAUUCACCCAUUCAAUAAAUAUUUAUUAAGCACUACUUUUAUCAGGCAUGUCUCUGAUCAUCAAGGGUGUCAUCCUGUUUUGUGUGUUUGUUUUUUCAGAAACUGGGUCUUGCUCUGUUGCUCAGGCCGGUCUCAAACUCCUGGGCUCAAGUGAUCCUCCUGUUUCUGCCUCCUGAGUAGUUGGGACUACAGGUGCACAUCAUCAUGCCCAGCUCAUAAGGAUACCAUCUUGAAGAAGGCUGUGAGGUUCCUGCUUUCAUGGAACUUACACUGUAGUGAUUUUGUUGGGAUGAGUUUUAGCCUUUAGAAUUCAUGCACAGCAAAGGGAUGUUAUCCUUGAAGAAGAGUUCUAGAAUUCGCUCCAUUGCCAAUUUUCUUCUAAUUAAUACAAAUCUCUCAUGAACCGAAUUUAUCAUUUCUUCAAUUCCCUCAUGUACCAGGGUGGUAGGUUUAAUAAAAAUAAUUACUGUUAAUAUAGUUUAAGGUUUUCAGAUAAGGUCUUCAGAUAAGGCUUUCAGGUUUUUCUAUCUGACUUUGAGAUUCCCUAUCUGCUAAUUUGCAUGAGAGUUUUAAAAUAAUAAACUCUGAAAAUUCAUCUUGCAAAUAGGAACUAUGGGUAAUAGGUUUAUGAAUACAACAACAAAUAUUUUUAAUUGAAGUAUUAAUUAAAAAGGGCACAACAAUGGCAAAUAUUAGAAAUACAUGUAGUUUUCCAUUUAACUUA
rnacentral:lncRNA from 1 species